rnacentral:rRNA from 1 species
GCUUUGUGUCCUGCUCUAAAGGUAUAUAAUCCCAUUUGAUCUUGGAAGCUAAGUAGGGUCAGUCCCAGUUAAUACUUGGAUGGAAGCCCAGCAAUGAAUACCAGAUGCUGUAGGCU